UACGGAGGGUGCGAGCGUUGUUCGGAAUCACUGGGCGUAAAGGGCGCGCAGGCGGUUUUAUAAGUCAGAUGUGAAAGCCCACGGCUUAACCGUGGAAGUGCAUUUGAAACUGUAAGACUUGAGUACCAGAGGGGAAGGUGGAAUUCCCGGUGUAGAGGUGAAAUUCGUAGAUAUCGGGAGGAAUACCGGUGGCGAAGGCGACCUUCUGGCUGGAUACUGACGCUGAGGCGCGAAAGCGUGGGGAG
rnacentral:rRNA from 1 species